rnacentral:SRP_RNA from 1 species
GCCAUGUCUGACAUGAUCAAGGAACGCGUGGACUUCGCUGAGCCUGUCAUCGCUGGGACGGUGGUGGAAGCCUGGCUCUCCCAGAUCGAGCAACAAAUGGUGGCGGGGCUGUACAAGGUCAGCAA